rnacentral:rRNA from 1 species
CAGCUCUAGUGGUAGCAAUUUUAUUGGGCCUAAAGCGUCCGUAGCCGGUUUAAUAAGUCUCUGGUGAAAUCCUGCAGCUUAACUGUGGGAAUUGCUGGAGAUACUAUUAGACUUGAGACCGGGAGAGGUUAGAGGUACUCCCAGGGUAGAGGUGAAAUUCUGUAAUCCUGGGAGGACCGCCUGUUGCGAAGGCGUCUAACUGGAACGGUUCUGACGGUGAGGGACGAAAGUUAGGGGCGCGAACCGGAUUAGAUACCCGGGUAGUCCUAACUGUAAACGAUGCGGACUUGGUGUUGGGUGGCUUUGAGCUGCUUCAGUGCCGAAGGGAAGCUGUUAAGUCCGCCGCCUGGGAAGUACGGUCGCAAGACUGAAACUUAAGGAAUUGGCGGGGGAGCACCACAACGCGUGGAGCCUGCCGGUUUAAUUGGAUUCAACGCCGGACAUCUCACCAGAGGCGACAGCUGUAUGAUAGCCAGGUUGAUGACUUUGCUUGACUAGCUGAGAGGUGGUGCAUGG